GAUGAACGCUGGCGGCGUGCCUAAUACAUGCAAGUCGAGCGAACUGACGAGGAGCUUGCUCCUCUGACGUUAGCGGCGGACGGGUGAGUAACACGUGGAUAACCUACCUAUAAGACUGGGAUAACUUCGGGAAACCGGAGCUAAUACCGGAUAAUAUAUUGAACCGCAUGGUUCAAUAGUGAAAGACGGUUUUGCUGUCACUUAUAGAUGGAUCCGCGCCGCAUUAGCUAGUUGGUAAGGUAACGGCUUACCAAGGCAACGAUGCGUAGCCGACCUGAGAGGGUGAUCGGCCACACUGGAACUGAGACACGGUCCAGACUCCUACGGGAGGCAGCAGUAGGGAAUCUUCCGCAAUGGGCGAAAGCUUGACGGAGCAACGCCGCGUGAGUGAUGAAGGUCUUCGGAUCGUAAAACUCUGUUAUUAGGGAAGAACAAAUGUGUAAGUAACUAUGCACGUCUUGACGGUACCUAAUCAGAAAGCCACGGCUAACUACGU
rnacentral:rRNA from 1 species